UUGUAAAGGCAUCUUUAUCCUCACAAUUUAUUCAUGCUGGACACACACAUAUAUCAAUAUCCUCGAUCCUCAUCUCAACCUAAAGUGUUUACUUGUAAGACAUUUGAGACAAGACAAGAUGGUGAGCUUUAUUUGUGCAUUGGUGGCGAUUACCUGCAUCGUUGUUAAUAUUCAAGGAGUGAGAUUAACAAAUGAAAAGGAAGAUGAUUUAAAAGAUUUCUACUCAAAAUUCAGCCAUGACAUGAAACGCGCCAUAAAAUCCGAUGAAAACAAUGCAACUUUGAAAUCACAAAUUGCAGUAAUAGACAGACAAAUAAAAACACUUCAAACAUAUCACAAAA